rnacentral:rRNA from 1 species
AAUGAACGUUGGCGGCGUGGAUUAGGCAUGCAAGUCGAGCGCGAUGAGUUUGGUAGCUUGCUAUUGAACUCGGAAAGCGGCGAAAGGGAGAGUAACGCGUAGUUACGUGCCCCAGGGUUCGGAAUAGCCACGGGAAACUGUGGGUAAUGCCGAAUAACAUCUCCGGAUCAAAGGUGUGAUUCCGCCCUGGGAGCGGACUGCGUCCUACUAGCUAGUUGGCGGGGUAAUGGCCCACCAAGGCAACAAUGGGUAGCGGGUGUGAGAGCAUGACCCGUCUCACUGGGACUGAGACACUGCCCAGACACCUACGGGUGGCUGCAGUCGAGAAUCUUCGGCAAUGGGCGAAAGCCUGACCGAGCGACGCCGCGUGCGGGAUGAAGGCCCUCGGGUUGUAAACCGCUGUCGUAGGGGAGGAAGGCUCUGUGAAGAACAGGGUUUGACCUAUCCUAGGAGGAAGUACGGGCUAAGUUCGUGCCAGCAGCCGCAGUAA